rnacentral:rRNA from 1 species
CACGUAGGGGGCAAGCGUUGUCCGGAUUUAUUGGGCGUAAAGAGCUCGUAGGUGGUUCGGUAAGUCGGGUGUGAAAACUCUGGGCUCAACUCAGAGACGCCACCCGAUACUGCUGUGACUUGAGUCUGGUAGGGGAGUGUGGAAUUCCCAGUGUAGCGGUGAAAUGCGCAGAUAUUGGGAGGAACACCAGUGGCGAAGGCGGCGCUGUGGGCCAGUACUGACACUGAGGAGCGAAAGCGUGGGUAGCGAACAGG